rnacentral:rRNA from 1 species
ACGGGUGAGUAACGCGUGGGAAUCUGCCCUUUAGUGAGGAAUACCCUCGAGAAAUCGAGGUUAAUACUGCAUACGUCCCUUCGGGGAGAAAGAUGGCCUCUUUGCUGUCGCUGAAGGAUGAGCCUGCGUACUAUUAGCUAGUUGGUAGGGUAAUGGCCUACCAAGGCGAUGAUGGUUAACCGGCCUGAGAGGGUGUACGGUCACACUGGAACUUAGAUACGGUCCAGACUCCUACGGGAGGCAGCAGUGAGGAAUAUUGCGCAAUGGGCGAAAGCCUGACGCAGCGACGCCGCGUGGAGGAUGAAGGUCUUCGGAUUGUAAACUUCUGUUAAGUGGGAAAAAAUACAGAGUUCUAAUAAAACUUUGGGAUGAUGGUACCAUUAGAGAAAGCACCGGCUAACUUCGUGCCAGCAGCCGCGGUAAUACGAAGGGUGCAAGCGUUAUUCGGAUUGAUUGGGCGUAAAGGGUGCGCAGGCGGUAUGCUAAGUCAACUGUUAAAUACCCCAGCUUAACUGGGGGCCAGCAGUAGAUACUGGCGUGCUAGAGGAUGGAAGAGAGAAGUGGAAUUCUCGGAGUAGCGGUAAAAUG